GACGAACGCUGGCGGCAUGCCUUACACAUGCAAGUCGAACGGCAGCACGGGAGCAAUCCUGGUGGCGAGUGGCGAACGGGUGAGUAAUAUAUCGGAACGUGCCCAGUCGUGGGGAUAACGUAGCGAAAGCUACGCUAAUACCGCAUACGAUCUAUGGAUGAAAGCGGGGGAUCGCAAGACCUCGCGCGAUUGGAGCGGCCGAUAUCAGAUUAGGUAGUUGGUGAGGUAAAGGCUCACCAAGCCGACGAUCUGUAGCUGGUCUGAGAGGACGACCUGCCACACUGGGACUGAGACACGGCCCAGACUCCUACGGGAGGCAGCAGUGGGGAAUUUUGGACAAUGGGCGCAAGCCUGAUCCAGCAAUGCCGCGUGCAGGAUGAAGGCCU
rnacentral:rRNA from 1 species